rnacentral:lncRNA from 1 species
GCAAAGGGGUCCGAUUCAAGACCGACAUACAAAGGAGGAAUAACGGAAACUACGUGGUCCGAUUGUAAACUCUGGUAACCAGAAAGAGCACAGUAUAAAUAUAAUGUUCUUUUGCUGCUAUCAGGUGCUUCCACAGAAUUUACUAUCGCACCAACACGAUUAAAAGCCACUUGAAGAACCACGGGGACAAUCACCUCAAAUCCUCUUCGCAGGGUAUGAGAGUUCAAGGUAGUCGGAAGAAAAAAGGAGAAGAAACAAGAGA